GGCCGGCGGAGACGCGCGGGUGGCCAGCGAUGGCCGCGAAGGCGGCGAGCAGGGGCCCAGCCCAGGAGGCCGGCUCGAGGUGCUGGGCGAGGGGCGGCGUUCCUUGUCGAGCACUGGCCGUGCGCCUCGCACCUGUCUGCCUCGCUGCAGCUGCCGCCCAGCAAGUAAAAGAGGACAGAUGUGGCGCAGCCGGUUGAACCCCUGUAUCGGAGUACCUGGGAGGGAGUCCCCAGCAACUCUGCACCUCCCAGCCAACUUCCUGCUCGUGGACACCCUGGGAGGCACCAAGUAAUAGCUUAAGCAAUUGGGUCCCCGCCACCCACGUGGGAGACCCGGAUAGAGUCCCAUGCUCCUGGCCUCGGUCUGGACCACCCCAGACUUUGUGAGCAUCCGGAAAGUGAACCAGCUGAUGGAAGAUCUCCUUCCCUCUAGGUCUCCCUCUGCCUAUCAAGCAUUUACGGAGUGAACGAAUGAUUGGAAGAUCUCUGUCUCCACCUUUUAAAUAAAACGAAGAAGCCUGGUGCUGUGGCACAGAGAGUAAAGUCACCGCCUGCAGUGCCAACAUCUCAUAUGGGUACUGGUUCAAGACUCGGCUGCUCCACUUCUGAUCCAGCUCCCCGCUAAUGGUCUGGGAAAAGUAGCAGAAAAUGGCCUGAGUGCUUGGGCCUCUGCUCCCCUAUGAGGAAGACCUGGAUGAAGAUCCUGACUCCCGGCUUUGGCUUGGCCCUGCCCUGGCCAUUGCAGCCAUGUAGGGAGUGGACCAGCAGAUGGAGGGUCUGUCUCUCUCUCUCUGUCUUUCCCUCUCUCUCUGUAAUUCUGACUUUCAAAUAAAUAAAUAUAUAUUU